UACGAAGGGGGCUAGCGUUGUUCGGAAUUACUGGGCGUAAAGCGCGCGCAGGCGGCUAUCCAAGUCAGUGGUGAAAGCCCGGAGCUCAACUCCGGAACUGCCAUUGAAACUGUUUAGCUUGAGUAUGAGAGAGGUGAGUGGAAUUCCCAGUGUAGAGGUGAAAUUCGUAGAUAUUGGGAAGAACACCGGUGGCGAAGGCGGCUCACUGGCUCAUUACUGACGCUGAGGCGCGAAAGCGUGGGGAGCAAACAGG
rnacentral:rRNA from 1 species